rnacentral:rRNA from 1 species
AUUGAACGCUGGCGGCAUGCCUAACACAUGCAAGUCGAACGGGGUGUAGCAAUACAUCUAGUGGCGGACGGGUGAGGAAUACAUAGGAAUUUGCCCUUAAGUGGGGGAUAGUCCGGGGAAACUCGGUUUAAUACCGCAUGAUCUCGUGAGAGCAAAGCAGGGGACCGCAAGGCCUUGCGCUUUUGGAGAAGCCUAUGUCGGAUUAGCUAGUUGGUAGGGUAAUGGCCUACCAAGGCAACGAUCCGUAACUGGUCUGAGAGGAUGAUCAGUCACACCGGAACUGAGACACGGUCCGGACUCCUACGGGAGGCAGCAGUGGGGAAUAUUGGACAAUGGGCGCAAGCCUGAUCCAGCAAUGCCGCGUGUGUGAAGAAGGCCUCGGUUGUAAG